rnacentral:rRNA from 1 species
GACGAACGCUGGCGGCGUGCUUAACACAUGCAAGUCGAACGGAAAGGCCCUGCUUUUGUGGGGUGCUCGAGUGGCGAACGGGUGAGUAACACGUGAGUAACCUGCCCUUGACUUUGGAUAACUUCAGGAAACUGGGGCUAAUACCGGAUAGGAGCUCCUGCUGCAUGGUGGGGGUUGGAAAGUUUCGGCGGUUGGGGAUGGACUCGCGGCUUAUCAGCUUGUUGGUGGGGUAGUGGCUUACCAAGGCUUUGACGGGUAGCCGGCCUGAGAGGGUGACCGGCCACAUUGGGACUGAGAUACGGCCCAGACUCCUACGGGAGGCAGCAGUGGGGAAUAUUGCACAAUGGGCGGAAGCCUGAUGCAGCAACGCCGCGUGCGGGAUGACGGCCUUCGGGUUGUAAACCGCCUUCGCCUGUGACGAAGCGUGAGUGACGGUAAUGGGUAAAGAAGCACCGGCUAACUACGUG